AUUGAACGCUGGCGGCAGGCCUAACACAUGCAAGUCGAGCGGAUGAAGGGAGCUUGCUCCUGGAUUCAGCGGCGGACGGGUGAGUAAUGCCUAGGAAUCUGCCUGGUAGUGGGGGAUAACGUCCGGAAACGGGCGCUAAUACCGCAUACGUCCUGAGGGAGAAAGUGGGGGAUCUUCGGACCUCACGCUAUCAGAUGAGCCUAGGUCGGAUUAGCUAGUUGGUGGGGUAAAGGCCUACCAAGGCGACGAUCCGUAACUGGUCUGAGAGGAUGAUCAGUCACACUGGAACUGAGACACGGUCCAGACUCCUACGGGAGGCAGCAGUGGGGAAUAUUGGACAAUGGGCGAAAGCCUGAUCCAGGCAUGCCGCGUGUGUGAAGAAGGUAUUCGGAUUGUAAAGCACUGUAAGUGGGGAGGAAGGGCAGCAAGUAAAUAACUUGCUGUUUUGACGUUACCAACAGAAUAAGCACAGGCUAACUUCGUG
rnacentral:rRNA from 1 species